rnacentral:rRNA from 1 species
AAAGGUACUCAAGGGCGCUAAAUGGAUGCCUAGACGUAUAUUACCGAUGAAGGACGUGGAAGACUGCGAUAAGCUUCGGGAAGCUGUCAACAAGCUUUGAUCCGGAGAUCUCCGAAUGGGGAAACCCAGCAUGAGUCAUGUCAUGUUGCCACUUGCUGAACACAUAGGCAAGCGAGCGGGAACCAUCUGAACUGAAACAUCUUAGUAGGAUGAGGAAGAGAAAGUAAAUAACGAUUGCGAAAGUAGUGGCGAGCGAAAUCGCAACAGCCCAAACCUUUUAAGUUUUUGCCUAUUAGUUUAGGCAAAUAAGUUGAUAGACGAAUACUUAUAAGGGGUUGUGAUAUUACAUAUGACCAAGUCAGAGAAUUUGAUUCAUUCAAAUAAUCUGAUUUGCGAUAACUGGCUAUCAACAGUUAGUAAGGUAAGAAAUCGGCGUGGUUAGUAGAAUAGUUUGAAUGACUAGCCAAAGAACGUGAAAGCCGUGUAUAUGAAAACGACGCUGACCUUAUGUAUGUUUUAUCGAGUAGGACGGGGCACGAGAAACCCUGUUUGAAUCUGGCUGGACCACCAGCCAAGGCUAAAUAUAAUAUACGAUCGAUAGUGAACUAGUACAGUGAUGGAAAGGUGAAAAGAACCCCGGGAGGGGAGUGAAAUAGAUCCUGAAAUUUAGUGCCUACAAGGAGUCGGAGCCGGCUUGUCCGGUGACGGCGUGCUUUUUGUAGAACGAUCCAGCGAGUUAAUUUUUACAGCGAGGUUAAGUCAAUUGACGGAGCCAUAGUGAAAGCGAGCCUGAAUAGGGCGAUUAAGUUGUAAGGAUUAGACCCGAAACCGGGUGACCUAACCAUGAGCAGGUUGAAGCCACUGUAACAGGUGGUGGAGGACCGAACCAGGAUACGCAGCAAAGUGUUUGGAUGACUUGUGGUUAGCGGUGAAAUGCCAAUCGAACUCGGAGAUAGCUGGUUCUCCUCGAAAUAGCUUUAGGGCUAGCGUCGUGUUAGUAGCACAUGGGGGUAGAGCUCUGUAAAGGACUGGGGCGGGCAACUGUACCCACCCUUAACAAACUACGAAUACCAUGUGUGUAAUCACGGCAGUUAGAACAUCGGUGCUAAGAUCGGUGCUCAAAAGGGAAACAGCCCAGACCAUCAUCUAAGGUCCCUAAAUUAACGUUCAGUGGGAAACAAGGUGAGAUUUCUUAAACAGCUAGGAUGUUGGCUUAGAAGCAGCCAUUCAUUUAAAGAGUGCGUAACAGCUCACUAGUCAAGAGAUCUUGCGUGGAAAAUGUAACGGGGCUAAAACGUUAUACCGAAGAUAUGGAUAACCAUAAGAGAGGUGAGAAUCCUCUCGGCCGUAAGAGCAAGGUUUCCUGAGCCAUGGUAAUCAUCUCAGGGUUAGUCGGGCCUAAGCCGAGGCGCAGAGCGUAGGCGAUGGACAUCAGGUUAAUAUUCCUGAACCGGUUAAGUUUUGUACACUGUUCACGGGGAAGUAAUCGAAGCGGAUUCAUGGUUUAUCCGUCCAACCGAGCGGGAACGCAAAGGGAGUGAAAGUGAUUCUUCGGAGUCGCGAUUUUGGUGAAAGCCCUGGCUAGAAAAGCAGGUGUACGCGUGGACUUAGCCGCCCGUACCGCAAACCAACACAGGUGCUCGAGUCGAGUAGACUCAGGCUUACGAGCGAACCUUCGCUAAGGAACUCGGCAAUACAGCGACCGUAACUUCGGGAUAAGGUCUGCCCCCACUUCGGUGGAUAUCAGCCGCGUUCACUCAGUGAAUAUUAGGUUAAAGAGUACAUUUUUAAUCACAAAACGAAUUUUCUGAGAUAGAGCAAACGAAUUGUUCUUUUGAACGCGAACCUCUGGCAUCUAACGAUGUGGGGGCCGCAGCAAAAGAGCCCACGGAACUGUUUAUCAAAAACACAGGUCUCUGCUAACACGAAAGUGGAUGUAUAGGGGCUGACUCCUGCCCAAUGCUGGAAGGUUAAGGGGAGCGCUUCACGGUGCGAACUGAAGCCCUAGUCAAUGGCGGCGGUAACUAUAACCGUCCUAAGGUAGCGAAAUUCCUUGUCAGGUAAGUUCUGACCCGCACGAAUGGAGUAAUCAUGUGGGCACUGUCUCAGCGAAGGACUCGGUGAAAGUGCAUUGGCGGUAAAGAUGCCGUCUGUCCGUACCAGGACGAAAAGACCCCAUGGAGCUUUACUACAGCUUUACAUUGAACAUGGUUUCAACAUGUGUAGCAUAGGUGGGAGACUUUGAAGCAGAUACGCCAGUAUUUGUGGAGUCACCAAGUGAAAUACCACCCUUGUUGUGAUUGUGUUCUCACGCUGACCGUUAUCCGGUUAGCGGACCGUGUAUGGUGGGUAGUUUAACUGGGGCGGUUGCCUCCUAAAGAGUAGCGGAGGCGUUCAAAGGUUGGCUAACUUCGGAUGGAAAUCGAAGUGAUAGUGUAUGCGCAUAAGCCAGCUUGACUGUGAGGAGUACAUUCCAAUCAGAGACGAAAGUCGGAGCAAGUGAUCCGCUGUACGUACAUUUGUACAUGAAUGUGGGAUCGACAGCGCAAACGGAUAAAAGUUACCCUGGGGAUAACAGGCUUAUAGCGCCCAAUAGUUCACAUAGACGGCGCUGUUUGGCACCUCGAUGUCGGCUCAUCACAUCCUGGAGGGGGAGCACCUUCCAAGGGUUCGGCUGUUCGCCGAUUAAAGUGGUACGCGAGCUGGGUUCAGGCAUAUUAAGCGCGAAACUAACCUCAAGAUAAGGUUUCCCUAUGAGGACACAGAAAGACUAUCUGUUUGAUAGGCGCAAGGUGGAAGUACAGUAAUGUAUGGAGCUAAAGCGUACUAAUAGUCCCAUUGCCUUUUUAUGUCCUUGUCCGUGGAGUUUAUGCUUGCAUAAACAUUGCGGAUAAGGUAGACUUAACUAGUAAUUGGUGCUUUUCAAAAGUACCAGUCAAUUAAAAAUCAAUUCCGUGCUGAUGUUGGACAUCGAAGAAA